rnacentral:lncRNA from 10 species
GGUUAGGGUUAGGGUUAGGGUUAGGGUUAGUAUUAGGGGUGGGACAGGGCUUCAUCCCUCAGCUCACCUGAGACAAAUACCUAUAUGAUUGCUUCCUCUGCCCUGUGUAAAAUACAGCUUCACUGAGCCACACUAAGGUGUAAGUCACUAUUCCUCUACCCCCACUCACAAGUCAAUUGUGUAUUCACCGAAAGGCUUAUGAAAGACUCAAAACAAUGCAAUCCUUUGUCACUUGUCCACCUAUAACCUGGAAGGCCCCACCUUUGUGUUUUCCUGCCUUUCCAGAUGGAACUCUGUCCUCGAAAAACAAACAAACAAACAAAAUGUGGUUUUGAGACAUUUGCCUGUGGGAGUUCUUCUUGCCGGCCAGAUGUCAUACCCUUGCCUGAGAUGGCAGUGGGGCCACCAAGGAGAUGGUGGCCCUCAUGCUGCCCCAGUCUCACUCCUACAGGCUCACCCCCAAUCUGGCCCACGAUGCAAUGCGACUACAGAGAAGUGGAACAUACUCACUUUAGGACUGCCGGACUGCCGUCACUCACUGCCUCGCCAAACAGUUCUUUCGACACCUACCAUUGAGAGGGAGGACCCUACCAAAUCUGCACGAGCUCUGGCGACUGGCCUGGAACCAGCAGAACACAGCAGGUGUGAAGAUGCUGCACGUUAUGCAAAGCCAUGUCAGAGGCGCAGGUGCCUCUCCAGUUCAGGCCGCGCUCGGGGUGCAGCCCCUGUCACCUUGGGACUGUCCCUGCAGGAACCCCAUGAGGCCUCUGGCCAACUUCCAGUCUUCUCAGACGCGACACCCACGAAGUCCUGGGAGACCACCGCCGUCCACACUCAGGCCAGGCCACAGGACAGAUCCCUCGGCAGAUGCUCCCCAUUUCUCACCCACUAGCAUAUGAGCAAGUCAAACGGUGGCUGCUGACACCACGGAGCGUGAGUGGUCUCAACAGCAGGAAUAACCGAAGCCCAGGAUGCAAAGCUGCCUGAAUACCUGUGAGAUGCCAGGAGGGGGACAGGAAGUGGUAAGGACCCAAAUAGCCACCGUGGGGCGCAGGAGAGGAUGGUCUGGAGCCUCAGCAGCUCUGGUUGGAAGACAAAGGCUGCCCUCUUGAAGCUCCUCUUCCUUCCUAAAUCUUCCCUCCUCCCUACCUGCCCACCUCUACCUUCCUAAGGGCUUGCGCUUGGAAAGCACGGCAAUCCCCACUGGUAAAGCUGGUCUGUGGUGCCAACGGGGAAUGGCAUCCGACCAGUGCAGCCCGAUGCUCUGCCUCCAAGCCACACCUCCAGGAGGCUGUUUUCCCAACUUCACUGCUGACAGCCCCCUUCUGACAGUAUUUUCCUGAAGGCAUUCUCAAGGAGGCCUCCGACUUCUCAAGGCACCAUUUCUUAAAAGCGCCUUUGGAAAUCUCUCCUGACCCGCUGUGUGUUGAUUUUACAGCUUCCUUUUACAGGUAAUCUCAUUUAUGAAUUUUCACCUGCACAGCUGUCACGAUGCUUAUAUUCUUGGGGACUGUCUCUUUCAUCACCUUGCACUACCCUUGUAUCCUCCCGUAUGUAGAAUAAAACACCUUCGCUGAUUGCCAAAUUGGAACUUCCUGGCAGAAAUGCUUAAAAAAUUGUUUGUUUCAGUAAGUUAACAAAAGCGAGUCCGUGUAGGAGAAGAAAACCUGACAUUACUCACCACUGACAAAUAAAAACUGCUCCCAGCUCUGCGUUACUGCCUACAGCAAUAAAAGCCUGCCAGGGGAUUCAGCAAAAACACUUCCCAGUGCUCAUCCAUUUAACACUAAAAACCUCAGUGCCAUCAGCACUGCAUUACUUUCAACAGCAAGACAUGGAACUUGAGGCUCAGAAGACUGAGCAACCAGGCCAGGGCCACAGCAAGCACCACGCUGGCUAGAAAGCUGGAUCUGCCCAACUCAAAGUCUGACUCAGCAGGCAAACUGCACCCUUCCAGCAUCUCUGCAAAAGACAGGUGGUUUCAGAGACGUACACACCCCUCCCAGCACCCUGCAUUCGGCAUACCUGUUUUUUAGGCUGAAAAACCGGAUGGCAGCGAGAACUAUAGCCUUCUUCAAGACUAAUCAACAAUUCUACUGCUGCUUUUUCCUAGUUUAGAGAAAACAGUGGCUACUAUCGUGUUUGGGUAGACUUAGUUUUCUUCUAUUGAACUGUAGGCCAAUUAGAGUCCCCAUUUCUCAUUAUCUUUCUUCAAACAAUUUUUUGCAGCUAGAAAAGCAAACACUUCACUAAAAUAGGUUUCACAUGGCAAGGAAAUCACAGCCAAUAAAAUGAUUUUAAAUGGAGGCCAUUAACAAUAAUAGAUCACAAAUGCCACACCCACCCUCUGUGCACAAAACUGGAGAUGAAUAAGAAAAAAAGGAUUCCAAACAACUGGAAAUUUAACUAGGAAAUAGUUAACUUAAACACUAAAAAACAAUACAACUAAAAAAAAAAAUCACAUAAUUUAAUUGCUAAGCACAUACAUAUUUUUACAAGUAUAAAAAUUACAGAUAUAACCACAUAACUUAAAAAUCCAAGUCAGUCAACUGAAACCUAUGAGAAACAAAGUCAGUGAAUUGAUAGUUGACAAAUUAAAAAGUCUGUAACUACCUACAAUUCUUUUUUCUUUUCUUUUUUCUUUUUUUUUUUUUUUGAGACACAGUCUUACUCUUUUUGCCCAGGCUGGAGUGCACUGGUGCGAUCUCAGCUCACUGCAACCUGUGCCUCCCAGGUUCAAGUGAUUCUCCAGCUUCAGCCUCCUGAGUAGCUGGGAUUACAGGCACCCACCACCACGUCUGGCUAAUUUUUUUGUAUUUUUAUUAGAGACAGGGUUUCACCACGUUUGGCCACACUGGUCUUGAACUCCUGACCUCAGGUGAACCACCUGCCUCGGCCUCCCAAAGUGCUGGGAUUACAGGUGUUAGCCACUGCACCCGGCCCGCUACCUACAACUCUUAAAAGCACAAAACAAACAACUCAAGUAGCUAGAUGUUAACUACGGAAGAAAUGUGCUGGCCUUCCCUUCACUCAGAUGUGUGAGAGCUUGGAGUGCACCAGGGAGUGUGCUGGGUGGAACACGGGAGGCACACACAUGUGCCUGCACGGGUGAUGUCCCCACAGGGCAGACCCACACGCAGCAUAUGUGUGCCACUGCAGAGCAGUGUAUGUAUCCCACUGCAGAGUGGCGUAUGUGUGCCACUGCAGAGCAGCCUGCAUAUCCCACUGCAGAGCAGUAUAUGUGUCACUGCAGAGCAGCGUAUAUAUCCCACUACAGAGCGGCGUGUGUGUGCCACUGCAGAGCACCUGGCUUCUAUUCCAAGACGUGAACCCAUCUGUGGGCUUCUGAUGAGAGGAUGACAUGUUGGGGAAGGAUCAGUCUGGCUGCUGUGUUAUGACAAGGGGAAGGGCUCGCAGAAGUCGGUGGGCAGACCAGUCAGUGCCAGCGACAUUCCAGGGAGGGACCAAGGUGGUAUCGCCAGGUGGUGGCACAGGAGGGACAGGAAGAAGCAGAUGUGGAACAUAUUUCUUUUUUUUUCUUUUUCUUUUUUUGAGACGGAAUCUUGCUCUGUCAUUCAGGCUGGAAAGCAGUGGCAAAAUCUCGGUUCACCAUAACAUCUGCCUUCCGUGUUCAAGCUAUUCUCAGGACUAAAGGCACCCACCACCAUGCCCAGCUAGUUUUUGUAUUUUUAUUAGAGACAGGGUUUCACCAUGUUGGCCAGGCUGGUCUCGAACUUCUGACCUCAGGUGAUCCACCUGCCUUGACCUCCCAAAGUGCUGGGAUUACAGUCAUGAGCCACCCUGCCCGGACUGUGGAACAUAUUUCUAAAACCUGUUCCAAGGACGGAGUAUAAAGAGAGGAGAGGAAUCUGAGGCUUCCAACCUGAGCAGCCACCUGGGAGGCUGGAGGUGCCACGUAGAUGGGAGGACUUGAGGAAUGAAGAUGGGGAGACACUGUGUCCCUGAAUAAGCUUCAAUAUUGUGAAAAAUGUCAAUUAUCCCUAACUCAAUCCAUGAGGUGUUCUUAUUUGUUUUUGGGGUUUUAUGUUUGUCCAAAUUUACACAGAAUAAUAACUAUUAAUUUUUUUUGAAGUAAAGCUAGACUCUGUACCUUACUCUCAAGAUGAAAUAAAUUCCAGUUGGAUCCAAAGACGUAAAUGGAAAAUAAAGAAAAAAGAGGUAGGGCACGUUGGCUCAUGCCUGUAAUCCCAGCACUUU